UGCAAAGUGAUUCAUUACUUUCCUAAGUGAUGCUUGAAGGGAAAGAAAAUCUGUUUCUAGCGGAUAACCAGGGUUGCACCUAAAAUUUUUUAUAUAUUGAACUAAAUAAAGAUCAAAUUUUUACUUCGAUUGUAGUAGAAUAGGGAUCAAAUCUCUAGAAUCAGGAUCCAAAUCCUUGCGUAGGCCUGGAUCUAUGGAUCCUCUACUUCAUGCACACGUCAAGCUCCACAGAAAAAUAGGAUGAAGCCUCGGAUUGAAGCAUCUUCGCAAGGCCACCAA
rnacentral:lncRNA from 1 species